AGGGUCUUUGUAAACAUACCAACAACAUUGUAUCUCACUCUGAAGGAUGUGGGGAACAAAGAGCUUUUAAGCAAACCCAUAAGAGCAAAUUUUCUUCAGAGAAAUUAAAGAUAUGUGGAUGAUGAAUUGGAGAGAUUUUAUUAAAAUGAUUCAGAACAACAUGAUGAAAACUUAAACUAGAAAGGUGUUAUUGGUUGAGAUUGUCUGGAGAUUAGAAAAUUGGAUCACACAAUGAGCAGAUUCUAUAGAUUUGGUGAUUGAAGAAAAGUAGAAUUUAAAAAAAAUUUAGUAGUUCAGGCAACCAGUGAAACUGCCUUUCCUUAUUCAGAUAUAAUGAGGAAAACAGGUAUAUCACUUAGCAUGAUUAUGUUUCUUUCUGAUGACAAUAAUAAAAAAUACAACUCGAACUUGUGCUACAAAAUAAGAAAACACAAAGU
rnacentral:lncRNA from 1 species